rnacentral:lncRNA from 1 species
CUGUUCUUUGCCACCCAUUAUCCAGAGAAAGAGUUGUCUUCAGAGAGUCGUUAAGCCGUCACUUUAUGCUUUUGAAACUUACUCUCUUAACUUCCUUCAAACUCAACUCCAGAAGUAAUCCCUACAGCAAAACUCCAGGGAGGUGACAGACGAUACAAUAAUAGUCAUUACUGACUAUUACACGAGUGAUCGUUUUUAGCCAUCUGAGUUACAUGACAUGGUGGCGAAAAUGUCAAUGGCUGCGUACCAAGAGCUCUUGUUGUUGGAGUCAUGCUGUAUUCUGGAAAAAUCUUGUGCAGAAAAUCCAGCGCGGUGUCGUUACCAGCUUGUGAUACAGACACAGCCGUCUACUUGGAAAUCUGAAUUAAUCAGAUAUAAGUUAGAGAAAGCUUCCGAAAUCUAAACAGAUGAAGACCAAUUGAUAAAUCAACCCAGUGAUUCACCAUACUUUCAAGCAUUUGAGGGCAGUUACGCUGCUGAUGUAUAUCAUGGCCUGCUAUAACUGCAUCAAUAUUGUCCUACAUGUUCAGAAAGUAGAAAAGUAAACUGAAGCAGGAACUGUACAGUUGCCUAACACAGUGGAUUUCCUCUCCAUGGCUAGUGUUCCUGGGAGACCACUAGGUAAAAAAAGAGAAUUAUGAUAAUAAAUUGAAAUUUUGGAUAAAAAGCUCA